GUGGGGAAUAUUGGGCAAUGGGCGCAAGCCUGACCCAGCAACGCCGCGUGAGGGAAGAAGGCUUUCGGGUUGUAAACCUCUGUCCUUGGUGACGAAACAAAUGACGGUAGCCAAGGAGGAAGCCCCGGCUAACUACGUGCCAGCAGCCGCGGUAAUACGUAGGGGGCGAGCGUUGUCCGGAAUUACUGGGCGUAAAGGGUGCGUAGGUGGCCUUUUAAGUUGGAUGUGAAAUACCCGGGCUUAACUUGGGGGGUGCAUCCAAAACUGGGCGGCUAGAGUGCAGGAGAGGAAAGCGGAAUUCCUAGUGUAGCGGUGAAGUGCGUAGAUAUUAGGAGGAACACCAGUGGCGAAGGCGGCUUUCUGGACUGUAACUGACACUGAGGCACGAAAGCGUGGGGAGCAAACAGGAUUAGAAACCCGUGUAGUCC
rnacentral:rRNA from 1 species